rnacentral:rRNA from 1 species
GACGAACGCUGGCGGCGUGCUUAACACAUGCAAGUCGAACGGAAAGGCCCUGCUUUUGUGGGGUGCUCGAGUGGCGAACGGGUGAGUAACACGUGAGUAACCUGCCCUUGACUUUGGGAUAACUUCAGGAAACUGGGGCUAAUACCGGAUAGGAGCUCCUGCUGCAUGGUGGGGGUUGGAAAGUUUCGGCGGUUGGGGAUGGACUCGCGGCUUAUCAGCUUGUUGGUGGGGUAGUGGCUUGCCCAGGCCUUGACGGGUAGCCGGCCUGUGAGGGUGACCGGGCACAUUGGGACUGAGAUACGGCCCAGACGCCUACGGGAGGCAGCAGGGGGGAAUAUUGCACAAUGGGAGGAAGCCUGAUGCAGCAACGCCGCGUGCGGGAUGACGGCCUUCGGGUUGUAAACCGCUUUCGCCUGUGACGAAGCGUGAGUGACGGUAAUGGGUAAAGAAGCACCGGCUAACUACGUG